UCUUGGUGCCCCUUAGCAUUUUAAGUGCACAAGAGAGAGGGUGUGGCCCCUCUCUCUCUCCUUCCAUGCCCAGACAAAAGAGAGGGCAGGCCCCUCUUUCAUUCUCUCACCAACUCCAAGGGAUUGUGCCCCUUGGACUUUCUAAAAAGGGAGGCUUGCGCCUCCUCUAUUCUUUCCAAUAAUUUCAUACCACAUAAGAAAAUAACAAGAAAAAAAAUAAGAAGAUUAAUUUACCAAC
rnacentral:lncRNA from 1 species